AGUGAACGCUGGCGGUAGGCCUAACACAUGCAAGUCGAACGGCAGCACAGUAAGAGCUUGCUCUUACGGGUGGCGAGUGGCGGACGGGUGAGGAAUACAUCGGAAUCUACUUUUUCGUGGGGGAUAACGUAGGGAAACUUACGCUAAUACCGCAUACGACCUACGGGUGAAAGCAGGGGAUCUUCGGACCUUGCGCGAUUGAAUGAGCCGAUGUCGGAUUAGCUAGUUGGCGGGGUAAAGGCCCACCAAGGCGACGAUCCGUAGCUGGUCUGAGAGGAUGAUCAGCCACACUGGAACUGAGACACGGUCCAGACUCCAACGGGAGGCAGCAGUGGGGAAUAUUGGACAAGGGGCGCAAGCCUGAUCCAGCCAUACCGCGUGGGUGAAGAAGGCCUUCGGGUUGUAAAGCCCUUUUGUUGGGAAAGAAAAGCAGCAGGUUAAUACCCCGCUGUUCUGACGGUACACAAAGAAAGCACCGGCUAACUUCGUG
rnacentral:rRNA from 1 species